AACGAACGCUGGCGGCAGGCCUAACACAUGCAAGUCGAACGCCCUGGCAACAGGGAGUGGCAGACGGGUGAGUAACGCGUGGGAACGUGCCCUUCGGUUCGGAAUAACUCAGGGAAACUUGAGCUAAUACCGGAUACGUGCGAGAGCAGAAAGAUUUAUCGCCGAAGGAUCGGCCCGCGUCCGAUUAGCUAGUUGGUGAGGUAACGGCUCACCAAGGCGACGAUCGGUAGCUGGUCUGAGAGGAUGAUCAGCCACACUGGGACUGAGACACGGCCCAGACUCCAACAGGAGGCAGCAGUGGGGAAGAUUGGACAAUGGGCGCAAGCCUGAUCCAGCCAUGCCGCGUGAGUGAUGAAGGCCCUAGGGUUGUAAAGCUCUUUCGCCAGGGACGAUAAUGACGGUACCUGGAUAAGAAGCCCCGGCUAACUUCGUGCCAGCAGCCGCAGUAA
rnacentral:rRNA from 1 species